rnacentral:lncRNA from 1 species
AAAACAGUAACAACAACCACAGCAACAACAACAACAACGACAACAAAACAACUAAUCAGCACAACUGUCCACAGUUCCCCUAGUAAAGAAUAGUUGAUGGACCAAGUGGUACUCAAAGAAUCCAAAGUUUAUUUAAUAACUGAUUUUCUAGAACUUAUUUUAAAGAUAGACAUGAAGGCAUGUCAGCCUGUGAUACACACUUUACAGAGUAUGUACUGAAAGUUAAAGGACAUCCAAAACAUGGCAGCUUUUCAGGUCACUGUGAGCUUAGGACUUGGGCCUUGCCACCUUUAUAGUACAGUGGGAGAACACAGAGUCUGGGUCUGACCUUGUCUCCAAGGAGACAGCAUCCGGAUGGGAUCUGAGGGAGUGCUGGUCUUGGGUUUUAGUUUGCAGUUGAACUGACCGACGCCAUCUCUGCCCAGAUUCAUCUGGAAUGGACGUGGUGCCUUGGAGUUACACUGGCCUCUUUUCCCCUCUAAUUUCCUAGUGUCUGCUGGAGAAGUUGCCAACUUCGGGGCCUAUGCAUUUGCACCUGCGACGGUUGUCACACCGCUGGGAGCACUGAGCGUCCUCAUAAGGUCACUGUCCCCUCUUUUGACACCUCUUUCCUGUUUUCAAUUUGUUGAGACCUGAAUUUACCAAAGUGGGAGCAUCAACCCCAAACUGGUCCAGGCCUGGGAAGAAGGACCAUGCUAUUCAGAGCUCCAGGCCCUAAGACUGAUGGCUGCCAUGGGCCUCAGUAUCCCCUCAAUGAACUAAGAACAUGAGCCCUAGUGUUCUUUUGUUUAUAGUGUACAUGUAGUACAUGUAUACGGGAAUACGUGUGCAUACAGUUGCACGUGCAUCUGUUUACACUUCUGUGUAAGCUGACUGUGGGGGGCAGAGGGCAGAGUUCAUUGUCUUCCUUAGUUUCUACCUUAGUUUUUCACAAUGUCUCUCACUGCCUGGACCUCACCAAUUGGCUAGUCUGGAGCUCACCAAUUAAUUGGUUAGGCUGACUGGCCAAUCAGCUCAGGAAUCCUCUGGUCUCUGCCUCACCAGCACAAGGAUUAUAGGCACAAGCCAGCACACCUAGUUUUUAGGUGUGUCCUGGGGAUUUGAACUCAGGUCCUCAUGCUUGCCAUUUUCCCAGGCCCAAGUACUAAUCCAUACCUAAACCUUAGCAGUUAUGGAUUCAAAAGUCUCGCAGUCAAGCCUUAAUUCAUUCAUAUGCAAAAUAGAAUGCUAAUGAUACACACCCAGACUGCUAAAUGGGGCUACAACAUAGUGAAUGGAUUU